CGAAGCGCCGUGGAUUUUCGGUUGGCCCCGGAUAGCCGGACCCCCCGCCCGCGGGGGGAUACGGUGAGCAGAGCCGUUCGAGACUGGACUGGGGUGCGGCCGGAUAUGCGGCCGCCCCUCUCCUCCCUCGCACCUCAUGUUUGUGGAGAACCUGGUGCUAAAUCACUUGCAGACGACCUGAUUCUGGGUCAGGGUGUCGUAAGUAGCAGAGCAGCUCCCUCGCUGCGAUCU
rnacentral:rRNA from 1 species